rnacentral:rRNA from 1 species
GGGUUUGAUUAUGGCUCAGGAUGAACGCUGGCGGCGUGCUUAACACAUGCAAGUCGAACGAACCUUCGGGUUAGUGGCGGACGGGUGAGUAACGCGUGGGAAUCUGCCCUCAGGAGGGGGAUAACGGCCGGAAACGGCCGCUAAUACCCCAUAUGCCGAGAGGUGAAAUGAAUUUCGCCUGAGGAUGAGCCCGCGUCUGAUUAGCUAGUUGGUGAGGUAAGAGCUCACCAAGGCAUCGAUCAGUAGCUGGUCUGAGAGGAUGAUCAGCCACACUGGGACUGAGACACGGCCCAGACUCCUACGGGAGGCAGCAGUGGGGAAUUUUCCGCAAUGGGCGAAAGCCUGACGGAGCAACGCCGCGUGAGGGAUGAAGGCCUCUGGGCUGUAAACCUCUUUUAUCAAGGAAGAAGAUCUGACGGUACUUGAUGAAUAAGCCACGGCUAAUUCCGUGC